rnacentral:rRNA from 1 species
AACGAACGCUGGCGGCAUGCCUAACACAUGCAAGUCGAACGAGACCUUCGGGUCUAGUGGCGCACGGGUGCGUAACGCGUGGGAACCUGCCCUUAGGUUCGGAAUAACUCCCCGAAAGGGGUGCUAAUACCGGAUAAUGUCUUCGGACCAAAGAUUUAUCGCCUUUGGAUGGGCCCGCGUUGGAUUAGCUAGUUGGUAGGGUAAAAGCCUACCAAGGCGACGAUCCAUAGCUGGUCUGAGAGGAUGAUCAGCCACACUGGGACUGAGACACGGCCCAGACUCCUACGGGAGGCAGCAGUGGGGAAUAUUGGACAGUGGGCGAAAGCCUGAUCCAGCACUGCCGCGUGAGUGAUGAAGGCCUUAGGGUUGUAAAGCUCUUUUACCCGGGAUGAUAAUGACAGUACCGGGAGAAUAAGCUCCGGCUACCUCCGU